UACCUUUCAUUCACACAGGUAGGUGCCAUGAGUAUGAUGAUGAUACAAGACAAGAAUGCACAUGGAAUUGAAGUUCAAGGAUCUUUUUAUCUUAUAUACAGCUACUUUUGAUGUGUUUGUUUUAUCUUUUUUCUUGUAUAUGGACGCUAUGGUCUAGACAGAAAAAUGCAGACAUAUGGUGUGCUACAAAAAUAUGUUUUGUACCUAUGAUUAUCUACCAACUUCCCCCAUAGUUUUUUUUUCCUUUUUUAUGUGCUAUGCCGUUCAUGCUAAAUAGCAGAUGUCAUACUUCCUUUUUUCAUGUUCCCAGAACAGUGGGGUUUAUGAUAUAUGGCAUCUGCAAAAAAUGUCAUGCCACUUGUGUUGUUAUCCUUGUUAUCUAGUUUGCACACAUUUUUUCUCUCCUUUUUUUUUGCAACUUUUAAUUGUGACGCAGCAACUUGUCAUUUGUGAACUAGCAACUUCUCCACUCUAGAGUACACAGUUUUUUUUUCUUUUAUGUGCUAUGCAGUUCAUGGUAAAUAGCAGAUGCCAUACUUAUUUUUUUCAUGUUCCCAGAACAGUGGGGGUUCAUGAUAUAUGGCAUCUGCAAAAAAUGUCAUGCCACUUGUGUUGCUAUCUACUUUGCACACAUUUUUUUCCCUUUUUCUUGCAACUUUUAAAUGUGACGCAACAACUUGCCAUUUGUGGAGUAGCAACUUCUCCACUAUAGGGUUGCAACUUUUGACCAAAAUAAACAGGCUCCCCUGCAACUUUUUUUGCUAGGGGGGGAGGGGGGCAUGAAUCUGUCUAUUUUAUAGAGUUUGCAACAUGACGCUUUUUUUUUGCACUUUGAUGCUCUCACGCAACUUUAUUGAAGAACACAAUAACUUAGCACACUGUGACUGGGAACUAUCAACGUUAAAAGCGGCAACUUUCUUAGUAAACCCAAAAAUUGAGCCCAAAAUAGAGCUAGCUAGUAUCUUUUCUCGGGGAACUUGAUUUUUUUUUCUCAUCCAAGCAACUAACCAGAACUUGCAACUCACAAGAUCGGACUUGCAAUUUCCUGCAACUUUACAACUUGUAGGCACAAAACGGACUAAAAAAGAGGGCAAGCAAGAGGGGAGAACAUGAUCCCGCACAGGCUGCUUUGGGUAGGAGGGAGGAAGGGACGCACUUUUUUUAGGGCAGUUUCUGCUGGUUUUUAGCGUUGCAGGGUGGUCGCCAUUGCCAACGCUAGGCCAGAUCCACCGUUUGCUUUCGU
rnacentral:lncRNA from 1 species